rnacentral:lncRNA from 1 species
AAUUGACUAAAACAGAAAUUGGUACCAGAAGUGGGGUUGAUGCAGUGACUAAUCUGAUCAUAUGGUUCAGAAGCUUUUGGAGCUUUAUGGAAUUUGCAGGAGGAGUUUUGAGAUGCUUAGUCAUUCAACUGGAAAUGCUUUAGAUUGCUGUAAAUUGAGCUUAAUGGCAGAUUCUGGUGGGAGCUCAGAAGACCAGAAUGUCAAUAGGACUGCAGACAGUGAAGACAGGGCUCCAGAAGGUUCAGAGAAGGACUUUAUUGGAAAUUGGACUAGAGGCCAUUCAUGUUAUGUUCUGGCUGAGAUGUUGUCUGCAUUUUUCCCAUAUCCUGAGACUUUCUAUGAGGCUGAUUUUGAAGUAACGGACUUCUUAAUCUGGAAGGAGAAAUUUCUAGGCAACAUAGCAUUCAGGCAGUGCCAUGAAUGACGCUGGUGGCUUUUAACCAAGUUUAUUGUGUUAUUCAGGAGUAGAAAGACUUGAAAAACUUGGACUUCAAAGGUGGGAGCAAAACUGGGGCUAAGGAAAUUGCAAUUAUUAAAGACAUUAUUGCCACUAAAGAAAUUCUAAAGACUUUGCCCAGAGGCAAUAAGAAAGAUGGCUUGAGGCCAUCUCAGGAGCUGGCAAGACCAUACCCAUCUCAAACUCAAGAGAGUAAAGGUGAACAUUUUCUUGAAAAGAGACCAGUAGGGUACCCUUCUCACACAAGGGGGCCUAUGAAGGUUUUUCAACAUGCUCAGCUACCCAGGCACUCAGAGGCUGCUGCAGCUAGUAUCCCUGGAGGCUUGGCUACUGCCGGAGAUGGCAGCAGACCUUGACAUAAACCAUGUGGUACUAGUUCUUCAGGAAUGAAGGGUGCUGGGGGCUUCCACCAUGAUUUCAAAGGAAGUCCUGGGAAGUCAGGCAAAGUGCAGCAGGGUCAGAGUCCCUGCAGGUACCCCCUGAGAGGGCAGUCGUGGAGAUGUGAAGAGGAAGCUGAAGUUGCAAUGGAGACCCCAAAAUUAAGAAAUGCCAGUAAUGUAGGACAUCAUCCAAGGAAAGCUACAGCAAUUGGGCAGAGACAAGCCAACAUAGAGGCCAAGUGGGCUGCAACCAACAAGGCCACAGGGACAGAUCUAUACAAGCCCUUUGGACAGAACAUCAUGAUGCCAUGAGCUCCGGAUGCCAGUGAGCUACAGGACUUGUCUGCCCAGCUGGGUUUUGCUCUGUUUUGGUCUCAGCAUCCUUCUUUCUAUGCCCCCAUUUUUCUGAAUGGAAAUGUUUACUCUUUAUCUUCACAACUGGAUACUUGUAAAUUGUUUUUGAUUUUUACAGAACUCACAGCUGAGUUUGCCCUUAGUCCCAAGGAAACUCUGGACUUGAACUUUGGGGCAAUCUUGGAACUGUUUGGGGAUCUUGGAAUGGACUAAAUGUAUUUUGCAUUGUGAGAAGGUCACGAGCUUUUGGAGGUAAAAUGUGACGGCUUGAAUUUGAGGUGUCCCCCAAAAGCUUUUAUGUGAAACAACGCAAGGUUUAGAGGAGACAUGAUUGGGUUAUGAGAGCCCAAACCAAAUCCGUGCAUUAAUCCUCUGCUGGAUUAACUGAGGGAUAAUUGAAGGCGUGUUGGGUGUGACUGGAGGAGGUGGGCACUGGGGUGGGUGUAUAUUUUGUAUCUGGUAAGUGGAGACUUUCUGUUCAUCACAUAAGCCACUCCCUCCACCACACUCUUCUGCUAGAAUGUUCCCUCAAGUCCCAAGGAAUAGAGCCUGCUAUCUGUGGACUAGGACCUCUAAAGACGUGGACCCCAAAAUAAACUUUUCCUCCUCUAAAAUUGUUCUUGUUGGGUCUUUUAGUCACAGAAGCAAAAAAAGCUGACUAAAACAGCUACCACUUUAGAAAGGGGAGGAAAUACAGAUUUCCCAUAUAUUUGCUUAUAUUUUAAGAAGAAAAAGAAUGAUAAGAAUAGAAAAGGGCAGCGGAGCACAACAGACACUAGUAUGGCAAUUUGUAAAUCAAUGGAUGUGUAACUGAUGUGAAUCUGCAAUCUGUGUAUGGGGUGAAGGUGGGAGUUCAUAACCCACUAGAAUCAAAGUGUGGAAUAUGAUAUGUCAAGAAAUUCGUAAUGUUUUGAACAACCCACAAUAAAAAAUUAAAAAAAAAAAAAAAAAAAAAAAAAAAAAAAAGAAUAGAAAAGGCAGAGAGGAUGGGAUAGAAGAAACAGUCAUAGAAUCUAGAUUUCUUGAAUAUAUUUUUGGUAAAUUUGACUUUACAACCAUACUAAUAUUUUGCAAAAUUAUAAAGCAGAACUAAAUGUUAAAAAAAAAAAACUAAAAACCUAUCCCCCAAAUCCAAAGUAAAAUGAAAAAAAUAAAAUGAACUCAAAUUUAUAUUCCUUUGAUGGCAUAAUGUCAUAGAGAAAAACAAUUCC